rnacentral:lncRNA from 1 species
CCAGAUCUUCCCCAGCUGCCAGCAGAAGCUGAAGGUAAAGGUGAAGGUGUGGAGGCUGAAGGUAGUUACCCUCAUCCUCCUCUCUACUCCUUUUUGCCAGUCACCUCCCUGCCAGUUGCCAGAGCUGGAUGUGUCCUGAGGCGAAAAUCUCCAGAGGCAGAACCCCACAAUGGAGAAGUACUGGCUGAAGCCUUUGACCAAUCUGUCCUCCUCUCUGCCUCUCUCCUCUAUCUGCCUCCCUGCCAGCUGUGAAUGUAAUGCUUCCUAAUAUGAAGAAUAUAAGGAAACCUGGGAAGACUUAGAUAUAUUGAUGCAGAGUAAAGUAAGCAAAAGAAGAAAGCACAACA